rnacentral:rRNA from 1 species
GAUGAACGCUGGCGGCGUGCCUAAUACAUGCAAGUCGAGCGAACGGACGAGAAGCUUGCUUCUCUGAUGUUAGCGGCGGACGGGUGAGUAACACGUGGAUAACCUACCUAUAAGACUGGGAUAACUUCGGGAAACCGUAGCUAAUACCGGAUAAUAUUUUGAACCGCAUGGUUCAAAAGUGAAAGACGGUCUUGCUGUCACUUAUAGAUGGAUCCGCGCUGCAUUAGCUAGUUGGUAAGGUAACGGCUUACCAAGGCAACGAUGCAUAGCCGACCUGAGAGGGUGAUCGGCCACACUGGACCUGAGACACGGUCCAGACUCCUACGGGAGGCAGCAGUAGGGAAUCUUCCGCAAUGGGCGAAAGCCUGAAGGCGCAACGCCGCGUGAGUGAUGAAGGUCUUCGGAUCGUAAAACUCUGUUAUUAGGGAAGAACAUAUGUGUAAGUAACUGUGCACAUCUUGACGGUACCUAAUCAGAAAGCCACGGCUAACUACGUG